GCACUGGUGUUCCAGCGGCGAGGAUACCGCCCUCGUAAGGCGGUGGCGUGGGUUCGAGUCCCACCCGGUGCC
rnacentral:tRNA from 1 species